rnacentral:lncRNA from 13 species
UCUUUUACAAUAUAAAUCCUUAAUCAGAACGUUUGUGGCUUUUAUUUUUUUCUCUUUCUCUUUUAAGGGAGUAUACUUUGCUCUCUGUGAAGCCCUUCGACUUAAAGAAAUAGUGAUCUAAGACAAUGUCCUGCCAUCCAGAAGAAUUGUACUAAAAUAAAUUCUGAAGCCAAGACAACAGCAGCAACACCCGCAAACGACAACAACCACAGAGGUACCAGAUCUAAAAAUCCCACCCAAUUUCUGACUUAAGCCAGUGACAGGUAUAUUUCGAAGCAAGACUAUGUAGACACAUUGAUUUUUGUUGUCACUUUCUUCUUAUUUCAUAUGUCACAUCAAGGCUUGGAAAUUAGAUGAACGUAAGAAAGGUCCGCUGAUCAUUGUUCCUCAGGAGGAAUUUUCA